rnacentral:rRNA from 1 species
GACGAACGCUGGCGGCGUGCUUAACACAUGCAAGUCGAACGAUGAAGCCGGAGCUUGCUCUGGUGAAUUAGUGGCGAACGGGUGAGUAACACGUGAGUAACCUGCCCUUGACUCCGGGAUAACUGCUAGAAAUGGUAGCUAAUACCGGAUACGACCCUCGGAGGCAUCUUCAGGGGGUGAAAGAAUUUCGGUCAAGGAUGGACUCGCGGCCUAUCAGCUAGUUGGUGAGGUAACGGCUCACCAAGGCGACGACGGGUAGCCGGCCUGAGAGGGUGACCGGCCACACUGGGACUGAGACACGGCCCAGACUCCUACGGGAGGCAGCAGUGGGGAAUAUUGCACAAUGGGCGCAAGCCUGAUGCAGCAACGCCGCGUGAGGGAUGACGGCCUUCGGGUUGUAAACCUCUUUUAGUAGGGAAGAAGCGAAAGUGACGGUACCUGCAGAAAAAGCACCGGCUACCUACGUGCCAGCCGCCGCCGUAA